rnacentral:lncRNA from 1 species
UAUACUUCACCAUGUAACUUGUGGUGCAAGUGUGUGCGCACGUGCUGUUUCGUAUUUUUAUUAGUAAAAAUGCCUAUGCGGUUGCAACGGAAAAACAAAUACUACACUUUCUUAACUCAAUAAUCAUUACUCGAGGCCCCAAUAAGUUCACAUCUCUUAUUUCAACACAGGGCGUCUCAUUCGUGUUGUCACUUAUUCUCCUUCUCACCCUCAGUGACGGUGGCCUCAGUGCUCACACAAACACAACCCUGCCGCGUCUCUUUACAAGAUGAGAAAUCCGUUUUUUUUUCUUUUUGUGAGGUGUGCCAAAUCACCCACCACGCAGAUAGCCGGAAAUCGCACGGCCUUGCUCGUCAUGGUUCGCCACGCCAGCUCCCGCGGGCCACGAACCUUUGUCAGAGCUUUCUUGUUUCUCGCCAUCUCAUGUGCCCUUUGCCGUUCAACUGGCCUCCUCCGUGCCGGACCAUAAACAGUGUCGUCCAGUAUCAGCUUCGCAAAAACUGCAGUGGACUUGUAUGUAGACGCCUCACUACUCAUGCACCAAAUUACUGGUGCACUGGCGCACGGCCGUACGCAAUAACAGCACAGCGGUCACUUGCCUUUCGCCACCACCUGUUCAACUUGGGUAGGCACCCCAUAAUGGACUGCGCCAAAUGAUGAUAUACUUUGUCUGGCCUUCAAGUGUUGCACCAUACUUUGCUAUUGCCCUAUUCUCCUGUGAGAACUACCCCAUCUUGCUUUGCAGUUGCAGCACCGGAUCAUAAGGAUUCUCUUCACCGUGAAAAUCCCUGAUUUCUUCAGAUGCCAUGCUGCUGUAUCUUCCACAGUUCCACCUGUGGAUGCGGCAAUUCUGUUGUCAGGAUCUGUUCAGUGUCAGCAUGACGGAAGACACAUGGUUCACAUGUGUACAUCAAUCUCAUUCAGCAGGUCCAAAACUCACUUAGGCUAGCAUCUUCCUUCUUCCCCUUGGCGUAACUAUUUUCAGUGAUGACUCAACAAUAUCUCGGUUAUCUUGCCAAUUCUGGUAUAUUCUCCCACGCCAGCCCUCCAU